rnacentral:rRNA from 1 species
UGAACGCUGGCGGCGUGCCUAAUACAUGCAAGUCGAACGAGUUCUGAUUAUUGAAAGGUGCUUGCAUCUUGAUUUUAAUUUUGAACGAGUGGCGGACGGGUGAGUAACACGUGGGUAACCUGCCCUUAAGUGGGGGAUAACAUUUGGAAACAGAUGCUAAUACCGCAUAAAUCCAAGAACCGCAUGGUUCUUGGCUGAAAGAUGGCGUAAGCUAUCGCUUUUGGAUGGACCCGCGGCGUAUUAGCUAGUUGGUGAGGUAACGGCUCACCAAGGCAAUGAUACGUAGCCGAACUGAGAGGUUGAUCGGCCACAUUGGGACUGAGACACGGCCCAAACUCCUACGGGAGGCAGCAGUAGGGAAUCUUCCACAAUGGACGCAAGUCUGAUGGAGCAACGCCGCGUGAGUGAAGAAGGCUUUCGGGUCGUAAAACUCUGUUGUUGGAGAAGAAUGGUCGGCAGAGUAACUGUUGUCGGCGUGACGGUAUCCAACCAGAAAGCCACGGCUAACUACGUGCCAGCAGCCGCGGUAAUACGUAGGUGGCAAGCGUUAUCCGGAUUUAUUGGGCGUAAAGCGAGCGCAGGCGGUUUUUUAAGUCUGAUGUGAAAGCCCUCGGCUUAACCGAGGAAGUGCAUCGGAAACUGGGAAACUUGAGUGCAGAAGAGGACAGUGGAACUCCAUGUGUAGCGGUGAAAUGCGUAGAUAUAUGGAAGAACACCAGUGGCGAAGGCGGCUGUCUGGUCUGUAACUGACGCUGAGGCUCGAAAGCAUGGGUAGCGAACAGGAUUAGAUACCCUGGUAGUCCAUGCCGUAAACGAUGAAUGCUAGGUGUUGGAGGGUUUCCGCCCUUCAGUGCCGCAGCUAACGCAUUAAGCAUUCCGCCUGGGGAGUACGACCGCAAGGUUGAAACUCAAAGGAAUUGACGGGGGCCCGCACAAGCGGUGGAGCAUGUGGUUUAAUUCGAAGCAACGCGAAGAACCUUACCAGGUCUUGACAUCUUUUGAUCACCUGAGAGAUCAGGUUUCCCCUUCGGGGGCAAAAUGACAGGUGGUGCAUGGUUGUCGUCAGCUCGUGUCGUGAGAUGUUGGGUUAAGUCCCGCAACGAGCGCAACCCUUAUGACUAGUUGCCAGCAUUUAGUUGGGCACUCUAGUAAGACUGCCGGUGACAAACCGGAGGAAGGUGGGGAUGACGUCAAAUCAUCAUGCCCCUUAUGACCUGGGCUACACACGUGCUACAAUGGAUGGUACAACGAGUUGCGAGACCGCGAGGUCAAGCUAAUCUCUUAAAGCCAUUCUCAGUUCGGACUGUAGGCUGCAACUCGCCUACACGAAGUCGGAAUCGCUAGUAAUCGCGGAUCAGCACGCCGCGGUGAAUACGUUCCCGGGCCUUGUACACACCGCCCGUCACACCAUGAGAGUUUGUAACACCCGAAGCCGGUGGCGUAACCCUUUUAGGGAGCGAGCCGUCUAAGGUGGGACAAAUGAUUAGGGUGAA